rnacentral:rRNA from 1 species
CCUACGGGUGGCUGCAGUCGAGAAUCAUUCACAAUGGGGGAAACCCUGAUGGUGCGACGCCGCGUGGGGGAAUGAAGGUCUUCGGAUUGUAAACCCCUGUCAUGUGGGAGCAAAUUAAAAAGAUAGUACCACAAGAGGAAGAGACGGCUAACUCUGUGCCAGCAGCCGCGGUAAUACAGAGGUCUCAAGCGUUGUUCGGAAUCACUGGGCGUAAAGCGUGCGUAGGCUGUUUCGUAAGUCGUGUGUGAAAGGCGCGGGCUCAACCCGCGGACGGCACAUGAUACUGCGAGACUAGAGUAAGGGCGGGGGAACCGGAAUUCUCGGUGUAGCAGUGAAAUGCGUAGAUAUCGAGAGGAACACUCGUGGCGAAGGCGGGUUCCUGGACAUUAACUGACGCUGAGGCACGAAGGCCAGGGGAGCGAAAGGGAUUAGAUACCCGAGUAGUC